UCUUAUAUAGUUUAUCCAAAACAAUACAUUUUCAUUGUAUAAAUAAUAAUUAUAUUUAUAAGAU
rnacentral:tRNA from 1 species